ACCUGUGAAUGACAAGACAAUAGAGUGACACUUAUUAGUUAAUCGAAAGUACUGAGAAGCAAGCUACUCAUAAAGCUGUUCUAAAGCUUAGAUCAGCCUUUUAGGGCCCUGUGCUGUUUACAAAAGAGCAGAGACUAUGCAAGCACUGCAGAGAUUUUAGAGUAUUUACCGAAGAGGUGACAUGGCAUGCUUUGGCUGUGCAGGAGCUCGGAAAGCAGAACAUCGAUCAUGCAAUUAACACAUGGACUAACACAUGAGCCCAUUUUCCAUGGGCUAAAUGAAUACUAAUUUUGCCUUCUUAAUUUUUAAAGACUUUCAGACUCCCAUUUCUGACCCCUCCUUAUUUGCGCAGCCAGAUUGGGAUGGUCAUAACAGUGUCUGUAUUUGUAAAACUUACAGUUCAGCUGUUGCAGUCCUUGGUAUAGGUGUCAAAUACUUUAUCUAUUUUACAAUUAGAAAAAGGCUAACUAUCAUAAGUGGAUUCCAUAAAUAUUUCUAAGGAAUUAUUUGCUCUUCUAUAUAUUGCCACAGUCAAAAGUUUAGUUACAUAAAUACCCGGUUAUCCUCUGAAAACAACAAAAAUGUUAAGAACUUUUGAAACUGCAUUAUCUGUAUAUAAGUUGAGCACAUUUUCAAUGAGUAGAAACCUUCAACCAAGUUAUCAACGUAUUUUAGAAGACUUGAGAUUUUUAGCUCUGAUAGCUUCAACAGUAUACCUUAUGAUGAUGGAUAAUCUGGAAACAGAUUGUACAAUGGUGAUAUUAAGUAACUUUUAAAUUUAAAAGUUAGAUUUCAAAUAAAAAUGUCAUUUUUAAAAUGAUCAUCCAUUUAUUCUUUCAAAAUUUCCCUUUUUCACUUGGCCUUAACACUUCCUUUCCAAUUCACAAAAGAAACACAAAAGGAAGUAUUAUCCAUUCCUUUUAACCACUAAUAAAUCUUAGUAGUAUUCAUGAAGUAACUUCUAAAAGUCUUCAGUGGCUACAAUGAACAACCAGAAGCAUGGGAAGGAAAAAAAAAAAGCGUUCCUGAAAGAACACAUCAUUAAAGAACACUUCUCUACAUCAUUUACUAGACUUCAGAGUAAAAUUGUACAUCACUGCAGACUUGAGACACCUUGGUCAUUACAUUUGAACUUAAUGCACAAACUGUUUUCAAGUAUAACUUCAGGCACAAGUCAGAGGAAACAGCUUGUUAUCAGCACACAAUCUUUCUUUCAAGUAUCAAACAGUAUGUACUCAGAUUAAAGUUUACCUUCUAUGACAACUUUUUUUUUUUUUAAAUCAAAGUAUGUGCAGUCAAGUACACAGUGAUACCUACCCGAAGACUUCCUUGCUGUAACAGAGUACAAUACUUCUCCCUGAAUUGAUAGGCUACAAAAAUUGUCUUUUAAUCCACUACAUUUUUUUCAGCUGUGUUAAAUUCACCUGUACACAAAGAACACUAUCUUUCUGAAGCAACAGCUGAGGAUUUAAACGGCCAUUUUCAUUUUGGGCUGCUUCCAGUCUAGACAUUAAAAAAGAAAACAUUCAAGAGGUAUUUUGCCUGUAACACAAUCAGUUAUGAGAAAGGAGUUAUGAGAACGAGCCAAGAUUUACUUCACCUACUUAAGUGCCUCAUCAUUAAUUUCAUCACCAGAGCUAUGAGUCACACAAAUAAAAAGACACUUCACAAAAGUAGUAGGCAAGCUGAUACGAAAACUUCUAUCAUGCUGGCUUCAUGGAAGCACUGAGAAUGUUUCAUGUUAGCUGUUAUUUUCAGACAUAUCAGACUCCAACCUCUUGUGAAAGCUGGUGGAACAUGCUAUUUCUUUUCAACUGCUAACAUACUAAGAGACACUAAACACCGAAGGAAUGAAUAUAGACAAAGUGAGCAUCUUUUGCAUGUUUUGCUUAUUUAUGACCACCAGCUACAGUAGUUCUUAUUGCUCCAAAGAUUGUGUUCCCCCCCCACCCCCAACACCCACAAAAAAAACCACAAAAAUAGUAGAAGGUGUUUUAUUUAGAAGUUGAAUUCAAAAAACUGUUUAAGAUAGAAGCUCGGCAUGCCCGGAAUUGUUCAAAAGUGGAUUUCUUACCCAGUCUCUCUCCUGCCAAUUCAAUUAGCUUCUGUUUUGCACAGGCAACUAGUGAUUGGGUAGGGUAGAGUGGGCUACUGGCUCAGGUGUUGUUUUUAUUCCAGUACCCACAGGACUUCCAUUCUUUUAUUCCUCAAAGCUAUUAGUCACCCAAGACUAAGCAAAUACACAACUGUGGACUCUGCAUGUUCAUUAGCAUGCUGAAUAACAAGUUUAUGUGAUGAACAUCCCAAACCACUUCCCAGUCCCUCUGACAAGAGGAUAGAAAUAACAAAAAAGUUUACCGGGAGUCUUACAUUAUUUCAGUGACUUUUUAAAAUUUCCAUGGACGCAAGUAUGAAUUGUAUGUAAAACUCUCAAACCACCAAAUUACUAAAAAUAACCUAUUAUACUGUUUCUCAUGCUUGUGGUACCACAGGCAUAAAUCAAGAGAGAAGUAAAAAUUAACCAAACAAUUUCUGUAAAAAACAAAAAUUACUCAAAGCAGUUUACUGGUUUUCACUUGUAAUAAUGGACGCAGAAGAACAUGGGAAAGUGCUUAAUCUCUAGGAAACAAUUCAUUCCUCAUAGUUGCAUUUAUUUCUCUCAUAUAUAUGUAGCAUUCCAUUAUAAUUUAAAAUGAAAUUCUCAAUUUUGUUUUUAUCUCAAAGUGCUUGGUAUACGGUUGCAGUUUUCAUCCUAUUGACCAGUCUUUGCAUUUUCCCCAUAGCUGAUAUACAAACAAUUAAAAGGUAUAUUUCCAGAAAGAGAAAAGUAACUAAAAAUAAUCUCAUCACAUUCACAAUUGUUCUUCUAGAACCUUGUUAAGAUUCAUACUUCUUUUUGGUCUAAACUGAUUCAUCCACACUCAAUUACAUCUAGGAAUACUGUGUCUGAAGAAAAUUAAUUUAUUCCAUGGAAAUAGACAUAUAUGAUUUUGAAUGGACAUAUACAAAACCAUGUGACUCAGUAAGACAAUGAAAGAUGAAAGAAAGGCAUUAUUAGCAUCUGCUUAGUAAAUGAAAUGCAUAAAACAGAAAACAAUGAGAACCAUUCUUACAGGUAUUAGAGUUUUGACUCCAGCUUCCUCUCCAAUGGCAUUACGUAUCUAUCCUUCAACACAAUUCAAAUAGAUAUAAACUGUAACCAAAAUAAAUAUCGGCAUUCCUUCUUCAGUAUCGUUUCCUUCAGAAUAGUAAAAACACUGUACUUCAAAAAGAGAAAGCUACAAGUAAUAAAAUCAGGAAUCCUGUC